rnacentral:rRNA from 1 species
UACGGAGGGUGCGAGCGUUAAUCGGAAUUACUGGGCGUAAAGCGCACGCAGGCGGUUUGUUAAGCAAGAUGUGAAAGCCCCCGGGCUCAACCUGGGAACGCAUUUUGAACUGGCAGACUAGAUCUUGGAGAGGGGGGGUGGAAUUCCAGGUGUAGCGGUGAAAAUGCGUAGAGAUCUGGAGGAACAUCAGUGGCGAAGGCGGCCCCCUGGCCAAAAGACUGACGCUCAUGUGCGAAAGUGUGGGUAGCGAACAGGAUUAGACUACCCCGGUAGUC